rnacentral:rRNA from 1 species
GGCGUGCUUACCAUGCAGUCGAACGGUGACUCAGAGCUUGCUCUGAUGAUCAGUGGCGAACGGGUGAGUAACACGUGAGCAACCUACCCUUGACUCCGGGAUAACAGCUGGAAACAGCUGCUAAUACCGGAUACGACCUCGACCGACAUCAGUUGAGGUGGAAAGUUCUGGCGGUCAAGGAUGGGCUCGCGGCCUAUCAGCUAGUUGGUGAGGUAACGGCUCACCAAGGCUUCGACGGGUAGCCGGCCUGAGAGGGCGACCGGCCACACUGGGACUGAGAUACGGCCCAGACUCCUACGGGAGGCAGCAGUGGGGAAUAUUGCACAAUGGGCGAAAGCCUGAUGCAGCAACGCCGCGUGCGGGAUGACGGCCUUCGGGUUGUAAACCGCUUUCAGCUCCGACGAAGCGCAAGUGACGGUAGGAGCAGAAGAAGGACCGGCCAACUACAUGCCAGCAGCCGCGGUGAUACGUAGGGUCCGAGCGUUGUCCGGAAUUAUUGGGCGUAAAGGGCUUGUAGGCGGUUUGUCGCGUCGGAAGUGAAAACUCAGGGCUUAACCCUGAGCCUGCUUCCGAUACGGGCAAACUAGAGGAAUGCAGGGGAGAAUGGAAUUCCUGGUGGAGCGGUGGAAUGCGCAGAUAUCAGGAGGAACACCAGUGGCGAAGGCGGUUCUCUGGGCAUUUCCUGACGCUGAGAAGCGAAAGCGUGGGGAGCAAACAGGCUUAGAUACCCUGGUAGUCCACGCCGUAAACGGUGGGCACUAGGUGUGGGACUCAUUCCACGAGUUCCGUGCCGUAGCUAACGCAUUAAGUGCCCCGCCUGGGGAGUACGGCCGCAAGGCUAAAACUCAAAGGAAUUGACGGGGGCCCGCACAAGCGGCGGAGCAUGCGGAUUAAUUCGAUGCAACGCGAAGAACCUUACCUAGGUUUGACAUAUACCGGAAAGCUGCAGAGAUGUAGCCCCCGCAAGGUCGGUAUACAGU